CCUACGGGUGGCUGCAGUGGGGAAUAUUGGACAAUGGGCGAAAGCCUGAUCCAGCCAUGCCGCGUGUGUGAAGAAGGCCUUCGGGUUGUAAAGCACUUUCAGUGGGGAAGAAAGCCUUGGGGCUAAUACCCUCGAGGAAGGACAUCACCCACAGAAGAAGCACCGGCUAACUCCGUGCCAGCAGCCGCGGUAAUACGGAGGGUGCGAGCGUUAAUCGGAAUUACUGGGCGUAAAGCGCGCGUAGGCGGUCUGAUAAGCCGGUUGUGAAAGCCCCGGGCUCAACCUGGGAACGGCAUCCGGAACUGUCAGGCUAGAGUGCAGGAGAGGAAGGUAGAAUUCCCGGUGUAGCGGUGAAAUGCGUAGAGAUCGGGAGGAAUACCAGUGGCGAAGGCGGCCUUCUGGACUGACACUGACGCUGAGGUGCGAAAGCGUGGGUAGCAAACAGGAUUAGUACCCCGGUAGUC
rnacentral:rRNA from 1 species